ensembl:misc_RNA Y_RNA Y RNA
GGCUGGUCCGAUGGUAGUGGGUUAUCAGAACUUAUUAACAUUAGUGUCACUAAAGUUGGUAUUCAACCCCCCACUGCUAAAUUUGACUGGCUUUUA